rnacentral:rRNA from 1 species
GCUGUUUACCAAAACAUCUUCGUGAUCUGAAUUCAGACCGGACUCUCCAGUUUACAAAAAACCGUGCUUGAUCGAAGACAGAACGGAGGCGCCUGUUUACCACAAACUGCUGUUUGAUCUGAAUUCCGGAAUCAGACCCCCCCUUGAAGAAGCGGGGAUGAACAUAUGAGACCAGAAGACCCCCUGGAGCUUUAAACUCAAUAUCAACUGCCACCACACAUACCACAUAAAACAGGCAGGUCUGAUUAUUAGUUUUCGGUUGGGGUGACCGCGGAGCAAAAUAAAACCUCCACAAUGAAUGAUUUACCUCUAAUCUAAGAGCUACGACUCGAAGAAUCAAUAAGUUGAAAUAAAUUGAUCCGAAUAAUUUUGAUCAACGAACCAAGUUACCCUGGGGAUAACAGCGCAAUCCACUUCAAGAGCUCCUAUCGACAAGUGGGUUUACGACCUCGAUGUUGGAUCAAGGGUGUCCCAGUGGUGCAGCCACUUCUGAAGGGUUUAUUUGAUCAACAAUUAAAASARNY